rnacentral:rRNA from 1 species
UACGAAGGGGGCGAGCGUUGUUCGGAAUUACUGGGCGUAAAGGCGCGUAGGCGGCCGAUCAAGUCAGAUGUGAAAGUCCUGGGCUUAACCUGGGGACUGCAUUUGAUACUGAUUGGCUUGAAUGCAGGAGAGGAUAGCGGAAUUCCCAGUGUAGAGGUGAAAUUCGUAGAUAUCGGAAGGAACACCUGUGGCGAAAGCGGCUCACUGGACCAUUACUGACGCUGAGGCACGAAAGCUAGGGGAGCAAACAGG